AACUGGCAGAUUAAACAAUCAACCUGAAAGUACAAUAAAAAUAAUAAUAAUGAGCAAAAUUUAAUCCCACUCACAAUAUUUAAAUUGACCGCUAAACAAUGUAGAGAGUUGGCGACAUUAACAUACGGUUUGGCGGGUUAAACUGCUGUUGUGUUGAGGCGUCUUUUCAAUUAAUACAAAUCUUAAUUAUCUGGUUUUUUCUAUUUUACUUUAGUGAAAGUAACGAAAUUUUAUAACAGUAACAAUCAACUUAAUCACCAUCAUCUACAUCAAUUUUAUCAAAAUCAACUUAUAAGUCAAAAUGUAAAUUAUGUUUGAAUCAACAAAAGCAAACAUCUUCUGACUGUUGAAGCCUUGGUUGGCUUUUGGAUCCUCGUUGUGGUCUUGCAUGUGGUUUUAAAUGUGACCUUAAAUGUAACCUUAAAUGUGAACUUAAACUAUCUUCUCUGUUACUCUGUUACCCGUGAUUUUGGUCUGACAUAGGAAAAGCGAACCCAACGGAGGAUUGCUGAUGAAAUUUAUUCCGAAGGAGGAAAAGCAAAUGUUGACUUUAUUAUGGCCACCAAGUUAAUUUGACAAGAGACUUCACUGAGCCCACCGAGGUUAACAAGAUGGACUUCUUAACCAGCUGUCAACCAAUUUAAUAUAAAUGGAUCUUACUUGGGACUAUUUUUGGAUGGACAGAAACUGGACAAAAGAAAAUCAAAGGAUUGAUCUGAAAAGUUAACUAAACAACAGGGAAAUGCAACAAGCAGUGAGAAAAUACAUAAACAUGAAGUGGACUUCUGAGUAUCUCAGUAGAUGGCUAGAUUGAAUGUUAUAUUUCAAUUAUUAUUACAAAUGUUGGUUGAAGAAACGCAAAAUGGUAUAAAAAAAGUGCGAUAAAAAUGAAACCUCUUAAAAGAGUCACGGUUAUGGCCUGAAGAAGCUGUUAAAAAUAUUGUUGAUACAGAUGAAGGUGGUAAAAGCAGAUGGAAUCAAACUCCGGAAGUUUCUAGGUGAGAGAAUCGACAUUUCCCAUUUACCGCUGUUUUUAUCCGAUGAUUGGCAGAAUAAUUGUAAUUUCUGGCAUUUCUAUCAGAGACACGUCCAAUCUGAAGACCAAUAUAAACCUAGAUCAAUUGAAUCAUCUAUUGACACAACUUUUAAAAUUCAACCGAAUGGUGACUUAGUGAAUGGAUAAAUAAAGGAAUUAAUAAUUCAUAAAGAACCCAAUGUACUGUAUGUAUUAUAAAGAGUAAUUAAUACAAUUAAAUAUGAUUU